rnacentral:rRNA from 1 species
UACGUAGGGUGCGAGCGUUGCCCGGAUUUAUUGGGCGUAAAGGGCGCGUAGGCGGCUCGACACGUUCGUUGUGAAAUCGCCCGGCUCAACUGGGCGGGGUCAGCGAAUACGGUCGAGCUUGAGCAAGCUAGGGGGCAAUGGAAUUCCCGGUGUAGUGGUGGAAUGCGUAGAUAUCGGGAAGAACACCCGUGGCGAAGGCGGCUCUCUGGAACGCAACUGACGCUGAGACGCGAAAGCGUGGGGAGCAAACAGG